rnacentral:misc_RNA from 1 species
GAUGAAGAACGCAGCGAAAUGCGAUACUUGGUGUGAAUUGCAGAAUCCCGUGAACCAUCGAGUCUUUGAACGCAAGUUGCGCCUCAAGCCAUUAGGUUGAGGGCACGUCUGCCUGGGCGUCACAUAUCGUUGCCUGAUGCCAGUUUCCUCGUGAUGGGUGACUGUGCAGGGCGAAUGAUGGCUUCCCGUGAGCAUUGUUGCCUCAUGGUUGGUUGAAAAUUGAGUCCUUGGUAGUGAGCGCCGUGAUAGAUGGUGGUUGAGUGACGAACGAGACCCAAUCAUGUGAGACCCCUACCGAAUUUGGCCUUCAUGACCCACAUGCGUCUUUGGAACGCUCAUGACGAGACCUCAGGUCAGGCGGGGCUACCCGCUGAGUUUAAGCAUAUCAAUAAGCGGAGGA